CUUUACUUCCAAAAUUCUCCCACUUUCCUGCUGGAAGGGACAUUCACACCAGAUGGCAUUUAUCAUCUGAAAGAAAAGACUAUCAGAAUAGAAAGAGCCAAGCAAGCGGCCGGAUGGACAUCCAGGAACAACAAAGACAAGGAAGUCUUACGAAGUACACAUUGCUGGGAUCUCAGGCUGGACUCCUCUUGGCCCCUGAACCUUGGGAUCUCCUUCAAAAGACAAAUACACGAAGCACAGUGUGAAAUGUGAGCAGAAUUUAGCGCAGAGUAGAGGAUGGCACACUCCUAAGGACUGAGCAUGCUCAGGCCGUGCAAGCCACGCACACAACCUGAAGGGACAAUGACCGUGCCCAUCUAGAAAGGCUUUAUCUUAUCGCUGACAUCUCCAGAGCUCACAGCUCUUCCCAGGUGGUGACUGACAGGCCAGUUUUGCACUGAUUCUUGAGGAUGGGGCAAUGGUGGGAGUGCCAUUGUCCUUUAGCAGAACUCAUGCUGGACAGAGAUCUUACAAGGUUUAGAGCUCCUGAAACCAGAUUCUAGAUGGUUAUCCACUAAUUACCUUUGAAUUUUUGGCGGGGGGGGGGGGGGGCAGUUCAGGGUGUCAGUUCUCCCUUGCUAGCACCAGAGAUUUGACUCAGAUCCUGUUUCUCAGACCAGUGGGUCUGCUGUUUUUUUUUUUUUAUUAUUAUUUAAUUAUUUAUUUAUUAUAUGUAAGUACGCUGUAGCUGUCUUCAGACACACCAGAAGAGGGCACCAGAUCUCAUUACAGAUGGUUGUGAGCCACCAUGUGGUUGCUGGGAUCUCUGGAAGAGAUCUCAGGAUCUCUGGAAGAGCAGUCAGUGCUCUUAACCACUGAGCCAUCUCUCCAGCCCCGGUCUGCUGCUCUUGUCCAUGGUUUUACACACCCUGACUGUGCAGGAACCUUCUGGAUUAUGCAGGAUCCUAGAGACAGACCACAGAAGCAGGAAAUCUGAAACAUGCAAAGCAAAACAUGCAGAACACCCACACAUAUAAAAUUUGGGUACUUUUUUUUUUUAUUUUGAUUGAUAGUUCUGGGUUAUAUAAACCUUUUCCUCCCCCCCCCCACUGUACAUAUUCCUUCCCCUGAUGCUUCUGGUUUUAAUUUUAUGUAUGCCUAAUUUUGCAUACGAGUUAGGGGAUUUCCCCUCAGAGUUUACUUCGAGGACACAGUUUAUGUACCUCCAACCAGCCUAGGCUCUGUGCCCUCCUACAUUUAGGAAUAUCCUUGAGUAAGGCAAUCAUUGGUGUUUGUUAAGAGAAACUCAUGCCAUCUUUGUGCACAGCGCGAUGCAGAUGUGGUCCUAGGUUAUCAAGUGCAUCUGGGCAUGUGUACAGCUGUGGCCCAAACCAAGUGGAAUCCCAGGUGGUUAAGAUAUUUCCUAUGCAUGAAUGCUUUAUGAAGGGUCAGGGGUCGCCCAGAUCUUUAUGCUUGAUAGGCAGGUUCUCAGCCUGAGAAGGCAUACUUUUUGUUGUUCUUGUUCUUGUUUUGUUUUUCCAAGACAAGACAAGCCUGUUUUUUCAUUUUGUUUUGCUCUGGGUAGCCCUGGCUACCCUGGAACUCACUCUGUAGAUCAGGCUGGCCUCGAACUCACAAGAGAUCCACCUGCCUCUUCCAGGGAUUAAGGGAGUAUGCCAUGCCACUACCACCCAGGGAGAAUACAUAACUUUUUUUUUUUUAUUUUAUUGUAUGAGUACACUGUGCCUUCAUACACACCAGAAGAGGGCAUCAGAUCUCAUUACAGAUGGUUGGGAGCCACCAUGUGGUUGCUGGGAUUUGAACUCAGGACCUCAGGAAGAGCAGUCGGUGCUCUUAACCACUGAGCCAUCUCUCCAGCCCCCAAUACAUAACUUUUAAAGUGAUUGCUCACUGACAAUAGCAAGGCGUAAAUAUGAAGACUGCCCUCCAGUCUUGUGUUUGUCCCUUGUAGAUGAUCAGAGUUCCUUUCUGUUCGAAACAACUUACCAACUUGCUUCCCCAAUUACAGGGAAGGUUUAAGCUGAGGUUUGCUGGUAGGCUCAACUCUCUGCUUGUUGGAAAUGGGUAUCUUUGGAAGAGUGAGAAGCGUGACUCUGAAAUGGUUUUCAAGUCUCGAUAGGUUUGUUUGAUAGUGAGCUACUCUGAGGCUGCGGUCAGUUGACGGACGUACGUUAUUUAAUUUGGAGGUUUUGUUUAAGAAUGUCAGUCCCUGGGGGCUGGAGAGAUGGCUCAGUAAAGAGCACUGCUCUUCAGAGGACAGCAACCACAUGGUAGUUCACAGCUGUCCAUGAUUUCAGUUCCAGGGGAUCUGAAACCCUCACACAGGCAGAAAGAUGAAUGUAAGUAAAAAUAAAUAAGUCAUUUAAAGACGUACAAAAAAGUGUCAGUGGGGCUGGGGAUUUAGCUCAGUGGUAGAGCGCUUGCCUAGGAAGCACAAGGCCCUGGGUUCGGUCCCCAGCUCCGAAAAAAAAAGAACCACAAAAAAAAAAAAAAAAAAAAAGUGUCAAGUGAUGUAGGGGACAGAGACAGGAGGUACAUUUCUGUCACCCACAGUAGCCAGAAUUCUCACAUCUUUCAGGAACCCCGACUCAAGUCAAACGGUGGUUGUAGCUUCAGCUUAGAAAAGGGGGUUGGGAUUCUCCAGUCUGACAGAGAGCUGGGGUUUAAGAAGAGAUUCCCAUAUAGAUUGUAAACAUGAGAGUUGAGAGGAGAGCUCGGAGAGAAAGACAGGCCCCUGAGCGUUCAUGUGGACUUCUCUGAGAGAGAACACUGCUGUCUCUACAGGUCAGAGAUGGGGGUUGUGGGGGUUUGGAGCUAUUAUCUGGGGAGUAGUUGUUGAGGGCACCCGAUGGGAUUAGAAUUGAUAAUGUUAAAAGGUCUAGAUCACAGGAUGUAGAAUGGUGAAUUACCUUUACCGUAAGAGAAAAGUCAUGCUCUUUUUUUUUUUUUUGGAGCUGGGGACCGAACCCAGGGCCUUGCGCUUCCUAGGCAAGCGCGCUACCACUGAGCUAAAUCCCCAACCCAAGUCAUGCUCUUUUAAAAAGGUUAUUUAUUAUUACAAUUGUUGUCUUGUGUGAUUGGUGCAUUUAAGCUGUGGUGCCCACAACCUUCAGAAGUCAGUUCUCUUUUCAUCCUGGGUUCUGAUGACUGAACGGAGGUCAGGCUUAUUUGGCAAGGUUUCUACCGACUGAGCCAUCUGGCAGGCCACCAUAAACAAAGGUAGCAGCCUUGUUUGGAAUUCCCAGAAAUGUCUGGGGAAAGGAAUGAGGCCUUCCUUCUCUAUCCAAAGCCAUAUACGUUCAGGCCUUGAGCCUGGGGUCACUGCUAUUUUUGCAUAAAGGGCAGUUAUGUUAGUAAAUGGUCACAGGUUUCCAGUAAAUGUGCUGGAAUUCUCUCUCUCUCUUUCCAGACAGGGUUUCUUUGUGUAGCUCUGGCUGCCCUGGAACUUGCUCUGUAGAUCAGGCUGGACUUGAACUUAGAGAUCCACCUGCCUCUGCCUCCCAAGUGCUGAGAUUAAAGGCGUGCACCACCACUGCCUGGGAGAAUUCUUGACUCCCAGUUGGCCAGACUCCUGACUCAAGGGCUCCUUUUCCUUCCUGUACCCCAAAAUUUCCCCAUUUUUCAGCUUGUCUUGGGUAACUUAAGGGUUUGUAAUUACUCAAGAGUAUAAAUGAUAUAUUUUUGAUAGGUCCAUUAUUGUUUUAAGUGUUCGAGUGUUUUCUUGUACGUAUGUACAUGUUCCACAUGCAUGCCUGGUGCCCACAGAGGCCAGAAGAGGGUGUCAUGUCCUGUGGAACUGGAGUUACAGAUGGUUAUGAGCUGCCACAUGGACCAAGUGUUUAAAACCAACUUCUUCUAGCUCAACUACACAUAAGGUUUUGAAAUAAGUUUUUAGGGUAAGAUAGUUAAACGCAAAGUAGAAAAUUUAAUACCAAGCUAGAAAUACUGAAGCACUUUUGGUUAAAAACUUUAUUAGCUUUCUGUUUCUCAUAAUCAUACAUAUCUUUAAGGAGUUAACAUGACAGAUCAGAUCAGAGCCUGGCCACCAGUACACAGUGAUAGAAUUCAGCAUUUGGUGACUCUAAUGACACGAGAUCACAUAAAUCACCCCCAGCAGAGUUCCCAUUCCUUUUCCUAAACAUGGCAGCCAAGCACCAUUGUGCAUCAUUUCUGGUCCCAUGGUAACUUACAGAUCAGACCCACUCCUCUGUCUUACUCCAUGUUAGCGCAUAGCCAAAGGUGUAAAAAGGCAGCAGGUAGACAAACAUUAUGAAACGCUGCGGUCUAAGUACUAUAGUAAACUCUUCUUCCUCAGGAAAAGCCAACAGAGAAUAUGAGGCGAGCUCAGGCACGUGACAGAGCUACAGCGGGAGGGACGGUGAGAAAGGAAGGGGUCAGAGCCCCACGUUGUCCUCUGGUGUCAGUGGGAAUAUUUGGCAAGAGCUGGGAGUAUGAGAGGGUGGGAAUGAUUACUCUGAAUUUAUGUAACAUUUCAGUUUUAAAACAUUCUGUUGACUCGGAAAUAGAAGUUCACAUCUGUAUUACAAAUAGGCACACAUGGUCAAAGUGAUUACAAGGUAAAUUUCAAAGGCCAUCCGCAAGGAGGACACUUUGCAGGUGGCCCCACCCUCCCCACAUGUCUUGGAGUUUACAGUUCACUCCUCAGAAAGGUCCCUUUAAGAAUGAUGUUAGUUCUUCAUCCACUACUCAGGGUUUAAAAGCAGCAGCAACUGUCUGAAGCAGGAGUGGUUAGCAACACUUUGUGUGGGAAGCUAGAGGGAGGGGCAGGGCUGCAACGGACUGGUCGUGCUGCCAUUUUAGUCCUCCCAGCAUGAAAGAAACAACAUAUUAUUUUGUCUAUUUAAACUUAAUCCAUACAGUGUUAUAAAGUCUUUAUAUAUACACACAUACAAACAGCACUGUUUUCCACAGCCUACAAAUGCACCCACAUAUUAAUUCACAAAAUGAUACUUAGAAGAUACAGUAAUACUUUCAUGGGUCCAUAACGGAGAGAGACAUUCAAGCUGCACACUACAGUAAAACCGUUAACAGUGUUCUGAUAAUCCGUGUCAGCUAUUGCACUGCGCAUGCACGCUGCCUUUCUUUCUUUUUUUUUUUUUUUUGGUUCUUUUUUUCGGAGCUGGGGACCGAACCCAGGGCCUUGCGCUUCCUAGGUAAGCGCUCUACCACUGAGCUAAAUCCCCAGCCCCACGAUGCCUUUCUUUUGAGACAGGUCUUGUUCCAUAGCUGUGACUGGCCUGGAUGAUCCUCCCGUCCUGCCUUCAAGUGUUGGGACUACAAAUGUGAGUCACCACACUUCGGGCUUUUUUUUUUUUUUUUUAAGCAUAAAGUUCCUCAACUUCUUACCUUGUAAUUCUAAUUGUUCCAUUAAACUAACAACAGAUAUCGUAUUUGUUAGCAAGGAGUUGGAAAGGCCCAAAUGCUUGCAAGAAUGGGAGGUCACCAUUAGUAGAGAGAACAAACAUUGAAUUUAUCCAUACCCUGUAUACUUAACCUACAUUCAUUUUUCUUUAAAAAUAAAAACAAAAGCAACGAACUCGUCUGUUAUAAAAGGAAUUGUUUAUACUUGUGGUGAUAUGCCCUUCCUAGAAACAGGGGUUCUACCUUACAGGAAAAUGGAUUUUCUAUUGAAAUGUAAGGCCCUGCCUGCACUUACAUACAUCCACUAUCACCUGCAGCCAGUCUCUGACUUCUGAGAGAGGAUCUCACUAAGUAGCCUUGCUCCAACCUUGUGCUCCGUCUGCUGCAGCCUCCUGCAUGCUGGGACUACAGGAGUCUGGCUUAUGUUUUAACUUUUACUGAUAAAUCAUAAUUGGAGUUUUUAAAGUAAAGCCAAGUUCAAUUCUGUAAAUGACGAGCGAAGUCUGGACACUUUGCUCUUAGAGCCUACCCACCUCUCCAAGGGAAAGGGACCGAAUGUCUGCCAAGAAGCAGCGGGUAAGGCCCGGCAGAACAGCAGCUGAGGUGGACAGGAAACACAGGCACCUGGAGACAACAGGGCAGGUUAAAAUCUGGGAGCCUGAUGGCCUCCCCACUAACUCAAAGUGUAGCUGCAACUACUUUAGCACCACUGAAAGGAAUUUAGUUUUCAAAACUUACAUUUUUGCCAGCGGUUAUUACAAAGAAAAAAGUGUGCCCGUACGCUGACCUCUGGUGGGGAAGAGUGGGGACACACCACAUCAUGAUGCCUCCAUGGUUCUCAUGCGUGGCCCAUGAAAACAGUCUGCCGUAACAAAGACACUUUCACAGAGGCCAAUUGGAAAGGAGCCCUCAGAACCUUCCCUACCACUCUGAACUUCUGAAUAGCUCUUCCUUUGGGGAAGUCAAGUGUUAUUCACAAACAAACCGAUUCACAGGGGGACUUGGUGAGGUAGGUGAGGGCAGGUACCAUCACUACAGGGAGACAGGCGGAGAGUGGGAAGAAAAUGCCAGAGGUCAUAGAACAGAUGAAUGGCACAGCCUGUGUGAGCAUCACCAAGUCUCUGGCAUAUGCCUUACAGACCUUUCUACUCUCAAAGGUAUAACUAAUUUCUUUUUUAAAGAUUUAUUACAUAUAAGUAUUCUUCAGACACACCAGAAGAGGGCAUCAGAUCUCAUUACAGAUGGCUGUGAGCUACCAUGUGGUUGCUGGGAAUUGAACUCAGGACCUCUGGAAGAGAAGUCAGUGUUCUUAACUGCUGAGGCAUCUCUCCAGC